rnacentral:rRNA from 1 species
GACGUAGGGCGCGAGCGUUGUCCGGAUUUAUUGGGCGUAAAGAGCUCGUAGGCGGCUUGUCGCGUCGUUCGUGAAAAACCUGCAGCUCAACUGCAGGCUUGCGGUCGAUACGGGCAGGCUAGAGUUCGGUAGGGGAGACUGGAAUUCCUGGUGUAGCGGUGAAAUGCGCAGAUAUCAGGGAGGGAACACCCGGUGGGCGAAAGGCGGGUCUCUGG